UUUUCUCCAGUUUGUGUCCGUUGCCUCUUGUCAUUUCACUGGAUGCCAUUGAGAAAAGUCUGGUAUAGCUAUUUAGAAAUUCUGAAGGGAAGAGCCAUCUGGAGUGAAGCUGAGGCAGUAGUAAAAAUUGUAUUGAUCAUGUAAGCAAGAUUCGUGUCCAGAAACGGAAACUACUUCAGCUGCAUGACAGCAAUUAACAUUAACUUAGCUACCAAAAAAAUGCAUUUGGUGUGUUUUUUCUUCUUUUUUUUCUAUUCUUGGUCUCUUUAACAAGCAAUUUCUUUAAGCAGGAUUAUUCCUGAGAGCAAAUAGACUGACACAGCAUCUUUGAUCUGUAGAUGUAGGUGUAAAUUGCUUCUCAAGCCAUCUGAUAAUCCAGGUUUACAUUUCAUCAAUUCAGUCUGCUUGCUGACAUAAAACUAAGUUCCUGUUCUGUAUUUGUUUUAAAAUAGAAAACGAUGGCCCUAUUACCUGCUUGUGCAGCUGGAAGAAAUGGAUGUUGCCAUAGUGAUCUAGACAGCUGGAGUUCACCUGUUACUUUUUUGAAGAUACUUUCUUCAUCGUAGGCUUGAACAGUAGCAAAAAGUAAACAAGCUUUAUUGCAAAAUAACACAGGAUCUUUAUUGCUCAAGUGUUUAGAGUAUUAGCACAGGUGUGAUGGUUGCUUUGUGUAACUGGCAGAUAACAUCCUGUCCUGUUGGUGAUUUGACCUCCAUAAAUACCAAGCACAUCUAAUGAGACAGCAUGACAGGUAUGUAAAGAUGUGUCUUGGUGGUCAAGAGAGACUUCUUCCAUGUUCAGGAGGACGUAUGAGGUAUGUGCUUGGGACUUCAGCUACCGUAUGAACUUAAGAUCACAUAUGGUUCUCUUCCAGCAAGACGAUGCUUUGAUUACCAUCCUUAUGCCAAGAAGUGCUCUUUCCUUCUGCACCCAGCAAGGAAAGUCCUCACAGGAGGACCUCUGUGAGACCCAAGCAGGAACACAAGGUAGAACACAAAAUGGAAAAGCACAUCAGGCAACUCCCACAAAGAGGUUACUGUUUUUUAUGACCACUGUUUGAAACUCUUAAUGCUGGGGACCCAAUCAUUGAAUUAGAAUAAAGUUGACUGGGAUGGCAAAGUUGGCUUGACAGUCAUUGAUACAGUGACUCAAAGACAGUCCAGGAUGUGACGUUGUGUUGCCUACUGUUACUUUCCCAUGUGCAAGUUCACAUUCUUGUGGUAGCAAAGAUCUUACUAUUCCCUAAUGCUUCAAAGCAUGGAGAACACUAUUUUCCUUGGUCCUGUGGAUGAGACUGAGGAGAAAACAAAACAAAAAGCUAACAGCUGAGAUAUAGGCUCUGUUAUUACUUAUUUUGUGAAUUUGGUAAUUGUUUCCAAGAGCAAUACACAACUGUUUGGAAGCUGGUCUUCAGUCUGGUCUCAUUUCAGGAAGGAAUCAAGCAGGUACCUUUUUUCUGGUAGCUUCUGGCAGUUGAUCUUUGGAAGACAGCUAUGUCUAUUGUCCUGCUGCAAAGGACAGGAGACCACUGUCGGCAGAUGCAGCAACAACCAAGGUGCAACCCCAUUGGGCCCAGUUUGCACUAAGUGCAAACUAAAAGAAGCUUGCUCAGAAAUUAACACGGUGAGAUGUGAUAGCUGAGGCAUCUGUUGUGCAUGCAGUCUUCGAGGAGCAGUGCCUGGAAGUGGGAAAUCCUGGUGGAGAGCUAACGAG
ensembl:lncRNA